ACGGAGCUAAAUCUACAGUGCAGGGAAACUGAAGCUCAGAGCAGCAGAAGGUGUGGAAUGACUCUGCUGUUUGGCCCUGGAAGAGUAUUCUGGAAGGAACAGUGCAUAGAUAGAGACAUGUCUUAUCCCACUUAUCUACUGCUGCUGCUGCUACUGGGGAUCCUCCUGAUCUUUAUCCAAGAUUCCUAUGGGUGGGUUGUGGUGACUCAGUCUCCAGAUUAUGUCUCUGUGUCACCAGGAGAAACUGUCACCAUCACAUGUAAACCCAGUGCCAACACCAGUCACAUCUCUUGGUACCAACAGAAAUCAGGGCAGGUACCAAAGCUGCUGAUCUAUGCUGCAAGCACCCGACACACAGGGACCCCAGAGCGGAUCAGCGGCAGUCGGUCUGGAUUCAAUUUCUCUCUUACAAUCAGCAGAAUGGAAGCAGAAGAUGCAGCAGAUUAUUACUGUCAGCAGUAUGGUUGGACGCCACUCACACAGUGAUACAGAGCUGAACAAAAACCCUUACUUUUAUUUCUGGAGCUCUUUGUGAAUAUGGUUUCAUAUCAUGUAAUUUUCUCUCAUUUACAAAAAACGCAUUACUUUGGAUAUAUUCUUUAAGACAGCAUUUUUUAACCCAAAUUUUCAGGGACUCUGCCUGGUUUCACUUUUUUCAGAUGGUUUUUGUCCUUGAUUUUUAAAACUGACGUAGUAGCAAUAUGAAGUAUAGUGGUAACCAGUGAGCAAAGCAUGAAAUUGAAGCGUGAUACAUUUUAUAUACCUAAGUCAUAAAGCCCUGGGCACAAUCCAUCGUUCUGCAGACUGUGUUUUUGUUCCAAGAGAAUACCUCUGGUGGUAUUGUUUUAGGAUAAUAUUGAAUAGAAGCUUUUCUUAUAUCAGAUUUCAGAUUUCAUUUCUCUUCUAGUGCAGAGAGGGCAAUUGCGAUCUCUGCACUAGCAAUGCGACACCCCACUAUGAUACUUGGAAAGGUAAGUGAUGAGUGUGAAGGAGGCAGCAUCUGAAAGCCUGCCUCAGGGAGGCCAGGGGCCCAGAAAUGCCCCUGGGUAGAGAUUUACCAAAAAUACUUAGUUCCAGGGGCAUAACUACAGAUGAAGCCGACCCAGGAGAUGGAGGGGGACCCAGGAGGCAUAGGAGGCCCCCUAAUGAGUAAUGUUAAUAUGUAUUGGUAAUACAGGGCAACUACUGGAUAUUUUGGGGGCCCUUAAAUUAUUUUGCUGUGGGGCACAGUAACAUCUAGUUAUGCCACUGCUUAGUUCUAUUUGUAGCCAAAAGUGCCUAAUAAAUGUCUUCUUUUUGGUGUGGGGGAUGGACCAAUACAAUUGCAAAUUAGCAUCUAUUUAGGUAAAUUACAUUCAAAUUGUGGCAGUGGUUGAUUUUGGGGAGAUGGCAUGCCAGUCUGCAGGAUGCACCUAUGGAUGCUAACCUCUAAGGGAACCCUGAAAUUACCAUGUGACAGUGGCGUAAUUAGAAAACUAGGGGCCUCGGUUUUGCAACUGGGCCCCCCCUCCUGCAAGUAUUUUGUGGUCGUCAGUCAAUCGGACAAUUUUAUUGGUAGUUUGUCACUACCAGGGUUGAACUGGUCCCCCGGUUGUCCCAUAGAGAACUACCAUUGCACCGCGAUUGCACAUGCAUGUUGUGGGGGUUGGCUUUGGAGGGGGCCCCUGGGGACUGCCAGGAGGGCCCUUUGGCUUACAGCCCUGGUGAGCCCUCAAGGCUCCAGUCCGACUAGGGUUGCACCUUUUCUGGAAAAAAAUACCUAUAUAUUUAUCUUUUUCCUUAUUAAUAACAUUGGGAUCAGCCAUCAUUUUUACCGGCCACUGGCCAGGCCAGUAAAAUACCAGUCAGGUGGCAACCCUGGUCACUACUAUUUGACAGUAACUUUCCUACGAUUGCCGUCUGUCACUUAGUGGCCUGAGUAUCGUGUGAUUUGGUCUCUUUACAACUUUAUAUUAAUCUGAAUGGUUCGUUGCAGGUCAGAAGAUUUCUUUAGAGAGCAGGCUUGUAAGCAGAAGUUUUGGGUAGGUGCCCAAAGUAGAACUGAGCUCUAUAAAACAAGAAAAUAAGCAAUGUAUAAAGAUUGGUGGUUCCAAAAUAUUAGCACCACCAAAUGUAUAGUUGCCCCUAGCAACAGGCAUCAGUUUAUCUGUACUUAUCAGCCAGUCAGUCAUUUAUAACCCUGGCUAGAAUUAUAAGUUAAUUGUGCUGUUGUCUAUCAAUGUCAAUAUUUAUUGUUUGGCCAGUCACAAAUUGUCCCUGGCAGCAAGGACAAGAUUAAUGACUGUGUUCAGCCAGUGACAAUAUAUUUAUAUUUCUAUUAAAAAGAGACCAUUUGCAUUAUAUUGUUCCAAACUUUUUAAAAUUCUUUAUAGGCUGCAAGGAGCAGUUUCAAGUUUCCCCCUACAACUGUAGCAAAUGUUGUGGGACCAAAACUGCAGUUGCAUUUGAUAAAUAAACCCCCAAAAUGAUUUGAGGCAAACUUACUCAGACUGCAAAGGUAUUUGCAUUUUUAGACUGCUAAUUUGAGGCUUUUGUCUCAGUUGAGAGUCCACAUCACAAGGGUCAAGUGAAUACAGAAUAUGCA